rnacentral:rRNA from 1 species
UACGGAGGAUCCGAGCGUUAUCCGGAUUUAUUGGGUUUAAAGGGUGCGCAGGCGGAAUAUUAAGUCGGCGGUGAAAGUUUGCAGCUUAACUGUAAAAUUGCCGUUGAUACUGGUGUUCUUGAGUGUAUAUGAAGUAGGCGGAAUUUGUAGUGUAGCGGUGAAAUGCAUAGAUAUUACAAGGAACUCCGAUUGCGAAGGCAGCUUACUAAAAUACAACUGACGCUUAGGCACGAAGGCGUGGGUAUCAAACAGG